UACGUAGGGUGCGAGCGUUGUCCGGAAUUAUUGGGCGUAAAGAGCUCGUAGGCGGCUUGUCGCGUCGGAUGUGAAAGCCCGGGGCUUAACUCCGGGUCUGCAUUCGAUACGGGCAGGCUAGAGUUCGGUAGGGGAGAUCGGAAUUCCUGGUGUAGCGGUGAAAUGCGCAGAUAUCAGGAGGAACACCGGUGGCGAAGGCGGAUCUCUGGGCCAGCACUGACACUGAGGAGCGAAAGCGUGGGUAGCAAACAGG
rnacentral:rRNA from 1 species